rnacentral:misc_RNA from 1 species
ACUAAUUCUCAAUAAUUUUAUUUAUUUUCAAUAAUAAUCAUGUUGUGCAUUGCGAAGCGUGUAAACUACUAAGAAACAAAGCAAACAUUUCAUAAUACUAAAAUUUACGUGUUUCACCUUUUUAACAUAGGACUACAUUUACGAGCAUGUUAUCUUUCACUAACACUAAAUAAUCAACAAUUAUAAGCUUAAAGCUAUCUAUCCCUCAACCUAUUUGCACUCAAGAGAACUCUCAUAACAAACUACUUAUAGAAAUAUAUUAGUUAGUUCCUCUCAGUGUUCUUUAGAUAUAAUUCAAUAUAUUUAUUACUUUAACCACAUUAUACGCAACAAAAGGUGUCUUCAACUACAUAGGCAAUUACAUAGGCAAAAGCCCCUUCAUCAAUAGACAUGAAUUCUUUUUCUCUUGAAUUCUAUGCCCUUUGCCUCUCAUUAAUGGGCGAUGCCCCUCUCUGCAAUUAACUUUUUUCACUAUUCUCCUAUUUAUAGUGUUAAUUUCCUCAAUUCUAAUUUAAUUAGGAGUCCCACUCAAUUUAAGAGUAACGCUAAAAUAAGAGUUCUGCUUUUUAUAAGAAAAUGUCUCUUUUCAAAUUCCACUAGAAUUUUGAGUCAUAAUUGUAAUAAUUAAUCUACGAGAACCUUUAAAAUGUUUCCCAUGAUUGCUAUUUUUUUUCUCUGAAAUAAAACAGCAGAAAAGAAGAAGAAAUGUUAUUAGGUGUAACCGAAGCUCAAGACGAUUGAGGAAAGAACUACAACUCGUGUGAGCAAAGUAGCCAGAUGGUCUCCAGUUCAAGGAACCACUCAUAACCACAGAAAAAUCAACAAAGGAUCAAACAAUAUGAACAAGGUUGUGCAAGGAAUGAAACUCGGAACAUCGAAAGAAGAAAGGAUAUUUACGAACAGGAAAAACAUAAUCCGGCCACCUAACUAAAGCCCUUUGAGCUGUCCGACCAGCCCUGUCAAGGUUGUCCAUUUCUCGAAUGCGGUUGCAGAUGACACAAAAGCAAUUUUGGAGGAUUCAAUGUCAUUGCUAGUAACUGAUGAAAUCAAUGAAGCUAGAGAUGAAUUGAAUGUAUCCACCUGAGUCUUCUCCUCAGGACCAGAGCUUAGCUUGGAGAAAGCUAUAUUAGCCUUUUGGACCCAAUCUGAAUUGGUGCUUCCCCCAAGAACUGAACUAGCUGUUGAUAGAUCAUUGUUUUCUAUGGCUUGACCUACUUUGCUCAGCUUGUAAACUAGAUCCUGUAAAUACCCUUCAGCAGAUUUCAUUUCAUAGAGUUAAAAAGAGUGUCAUAGAAGCAUGAUUUUAGAUGAAGUUGACAAUAUAGCAGGAAAGGUACAUAAAUUAUUUUCUGAGAGGGAGUAAAACCAAAUUAAGAAAAUUUAAUUGCACAGUUUGAAUUCAUGAAGUAUGAUCCCAGGACGUUUAGGCCGACGACACUGGACAUUCAAAUGAAGUAACCAUUUUAGCAUAACAGAACCCAUUCAUGAGGUCUCUGGCAUCUUCAUUGAUGCUUCCAUUCCUUUUUACAGGCAUUUCCUCCCAAUUAGAGCAAAAAUGCCUCCGAAUCGACAUGUGCAAUAUCUAAACAUAUUUUUAUUAAAUGUCAAUUAGAGAGUUAAGCACCACCCAAGAAACUAAUAGCUAAGCUACAUUUCUGCAUAGUUCCAUAAUAGAAAUACCAUAUAUUUUAGUAAUUAGCUAAUUUAGAUAAACAACCAAAUUGCAAUUAGAACAUGAAGAACAUUCAAUAUAACCUCAAUCAAGAGAAAAAGAAAAUAUGGGUUCAUCCAAAUUAUACAUGGACAUUGUGGGUUCUGCUUGAGAUUGAACCUGUUUCCUUGUUAGAUGAACUAAUGACACCUUGUCUUUCAAUCCUCUUCUUUCUGUCUCUCUUCACUCUCUCCAAUAGUUCUUCAUCAUCAUCAGCUUCCAAUAUAGCUGCAUUGGCACUACUGGAAUUGCUCCUGCUAGCCAAUGAGAUGACGAAGCUGGUGAUGAAGGAAAUAGAGAGGCUUCUUUUGGUUAAAACUAGAGAAGGUGGUGAUGGAGACUCACUAAAAGUUCUGCAAAAUGUCAGCUGUCUCCUGGCAUUGUUCUUUUUUGGACAAAAGAAUACAGUUGCUGUUAGUGAAGAUAAAGAUGAUGAGGAGGAGGAGGAGGAAGAGAGAAAGGAGUUUGCAGUUGAAAGAAAUGUUGUUGCCAUUUCUUGGUUUUUCUUCUAUCUUUUUCUUUAUUUUUCUGGUAGUUUCUGGGUGGAAAAAUCAGAGGUAUUGAUACUUUGCCAAGCCUUUUAAGAGGAUAAGGUUGCUGGAUUCUGCAAUCUGAUCCAGUCAUUUUCAAAUGUCUAAGGGUAUUAUAGUCAUCUAUCUUUUUUCUUUUCUUAAGACAAUUCUUCAAUUUCCUUGGACCCUUAUUUCAAUACAACAUUUUC